UUGGUUUCUGUCGCUGCUCCUGGAUGCACCGUCUCUCUCCGUGUUGCCUCCGUUGACAAAAUCAGUAACCACACACCACUGUAGAUCAUGGCAGUCUUCCGGCGAGUUAUGAAAUUGGUCAGGGUUCACAAUCGCAAGCAGCGGGACAGGUCCCUUAUCUCCGCCGCCCUCUUCCCCACCAUCUUUGUCUCUUUCUUCGAAAUUUACUGCCAAAGCACUCUCAUCUGUGAUCGCCGACUUGUCAGAGCUCCAACGCAAACUUGGACCUUCUUCUUUCCUUUUGCUGGAAACGUUGCUUGCUAGCAGAUAGAUCAAUGAGAUAAAUGGUGUGACUCGU
rnacentral:lncRNA from 1 species